rnacentral:rRNA from 1 species
GACGAAGGAUGCAAGCGUUAUCCGGAUUCAUUGGGUUUAAAGGGAGCGUAGGUGGCCUUAUAAGUCAGUGGUGAAAUCCCGCAGCUUAACUGUGGAAUUGCCAUUGAUACUGUAGGGCUUGAGUACAGAUGCCGUUGGCGGAAUAUGACAUGUAGUGGUGAAAUACAUAGAGAUGUCAUAGAACACCGAUUGCGAAGGCAGCUGACGAAACUGUAACUGACACUGAGGCUCGAAAGUGUGGGGAUCAAACAGGAUUAGAAACCCCCGUAGUCC